rnacentral:rRNA from 1 species
UGAACGCUGGCGGUAGGCCUAACACAUGCACGUCGAACGGCAGCACAGUAAGAGCUUGCUCUUACGGGUGGCGAGUGGCGGACGGGUGAGGAAUACAUCGGAAUCUACUUUUUCGUGGGGGAUAACGUAGGGAAACUUACGCUAAUACCGCAUACGACCUACGGGUGAAAGCAGGGGAUCUUCGGACCUUGCGCGAUUGAAUGAGCCGAUGUCGGAUUAGCUAGUUGGCGGGGUAAAGGCCCACCAAGGCGACGAUCCGUAGCUGGUCUGAGAGGAUGAUCAGCCACACUGGAACUGAGACACGGUCCAGACUCCUACGGGAGGCAGCAGUGGGGAAUAUUGGACAAUGGGCGCAAGCCUGAUCCAGCCAUACCGCGUGGGUGAAGAAGGCCUUCGGGUUGUAAAGCCCUUUUGUUGGGAAAGAAAGGCAGCAGGUUAAUACCCCGCUGUUCUGACGGUACCCAAAGAAUAAGCACCGGCUAACUUCGUG